rnacentral:rRNA from 1 species
CAAGGAUUCCCCUAGUAAUGGCGAAUGAAGCGGGAACAGCUCAAAUUUGAAAUCUGCGUCGCCUGCGACGCCGAAUUGUAGUUUCGAGAAGCAUUUUCUAGGCGGGCCCGGGGCCGUCCAAGUUGCUUGGAACAGCACGUCAUAGAGGGUGACAACCCCGUCUGUGGCGGAACCGGCCGCUCACGAUGUGCUUUCAACGAGUCGGGUUGUUUGGGAAUGCAGCCCAAAAUGGGUGGUAAACUCCAUCUAAAGCUAAAUAUUGGCACGAGACCGAUAGCGAACAAGUACCGUGAGGGAAAGAUGAAAAGCACUUUGAAAAGAGAGUUAAAAAGUACGUGAAACCGUUAAAAGGGAAACGGAUGGGGUUAGCAAUGCGUCGUGCGAGAUUCAGCCGGGUGUCGCUCCGGGCGGGCGGUUUGCGGAUCCGAAUAGACCGCGGCCGUUCGGUUCGGGGCUUCCACCGUCGCACUUCUCGCCGGCGCGCGCCAAUGUCGGUUGGCUCUGGGUUUCAAAGUCGCCAGCAAGGUAGGCUCUUUCCCUCGGGAUCGAGUUGUUAUAGGCUGGCGUCGUAUGGCCCGGGGGCGACCGAGGUGCCGCGGCGUAUGCCUCCUUCGGGUUGGCUAGGGUCCUGUCUCGCCGGUCGGUAGUCGACUGUGGUGGACUGCAUGCAGUGCACUGCGACUGCUGCCGGUCGCCGAGGCGGUGACUUCGUACUAUGCGCCCAGGACGUUGGCGGUCACAUGGCCUCAUUCGACCCGUCUUGAAACACGGACCAAGGAGUCUAACAUGUGCGCGAGUCUUUGAGUGAACGAAACUCGCAGGCGCAAUGAAAGUGAAGGCGGCUCUGCCGUCGAGGUGAGAGCCUGUCCUCCGGGGCGGGUGCAUCAUCGACCGACCUAUUCUGUUCUCAGGAAGGUUUGAGUAAGAGCGCAUCUGUUGGACCCGAAAGA